rnacentral:rRNA from 1 species
GAUGAACGCUGGCGGCGUGCCUAAUACAUGCAAGUCGAGCGAACAGAUGAGGAGCUUGCGCCUCUGACGUUAGCGGCGGACGGGUGAGUAACACGUGGAUAACCUACCUAUAAGACUGGGAUAACUUCGGGAAACCGGAGCUAAUACCGGAUAAUAUAUUGAACCGCAUGGUUCAAUAGUGAAAGACGGUUUUGCUGUCACUUAUAGAUGGAUCCGCGCCGCUUUAGCUAGGUGGUAAGGUAACGGCUUACCAAGGCGACGAUGCGUAGCCGACCGGAGAGGAGGAUCAGCCACCUGGGAACUGGGACACGGUCCAGAGUACUGAGGGAGGGAGCAGUGGGGAAUGUUGGACAAUGGGGGGAAGCCUGAUACAGCCAGACCGAGGGGGAGAAGAAGGCCUUCGGGGUGUAAAGCCCUGUUGUUGGGAAAGAAAAGCAGCAGGUGAAUACCCCGCUGUUGUGACGGUACCCAAAGAAGAAGCACCGGCUAACUUCGUG